AAUCAACGCUGGCGGCGUGCCUAACACAUGCAAGUCGAACGAGAAAGGGGAGCAAUCCCUGAGUACAGUGGCGACCGGGUGAGUAACACGUGACUACCUACCCUUGAGUGGGGGAGUAACCUACCGGGAACCGGAACGGCGUAAUAACCGCCAUAAUAAUCGCAAGAAUCAAAGGAAAGGCAAUACCGCCUCUUGGUAGGGGGUCGGCGGGCUGAUUAGCUAGUUGGUAGGGUAAGUAGGCCUACCAACGACGAAGANCGGUA
rnacentral:rRNA from 1 species